CACUCCACAUAAGCCCUUUUCCUCUCUCCGUGACUCUCCCUCUCCAGACUUUUCUUCUGGCCUUUCUUGUUUUCCUUUUCUAAUCUUGACGAAUCCAUUUUUUGAUCAACAUCACCGUCAGCGCUGUCGUCCUUUUUUUUUUGAGUUGUUUUGCGCAGCACGGGUACGCUCCCCCUCCAUUUUUCAAGCUCAUGUUUACGUAGCGUAGCGAUUUCUGGCUCUUGUGGGAGUGCUCUUCGCUUUUUCUGCGCUGUUGUUUCCGGUGCUAUAGAGCGCCUACAUCACACUUCUAUCAGCGGGGCCGCGCGCGUUUAUUUCCUGCCGCUGGCCAGCACUCCCUCAUCACCACCAUCUCCCCGUUUGUGCUUCCUCCGUUGUGCGUGUGCGUGUGCGCGCGCGCUCUUCCCCUACAUCGUGCUGCUGCUUCUCAGAGGUGUUGCUUUCUCCGUGUUCCCCCCUGUCGGUCUGCGUGGACGCCCCCCUUCCCGCCCUCACACCCACUUGGCCCAAUCACUUUCUCUCCCAACGUGCGCUCCAACACGUCUUCGACGCCGUGGUUUCGUUCCUCACCCCACCCAUCCUUCUAUUCUUCUAUGUGUAUGUGUGUGUCUGUCGCUCUCUCUCGUCCGGCUUAUCGACAUUCACUUGGUGCUGUCUCUGUGUGUGUGUGUGUGUGUGCGUGUGUGCCUGCCUUGGCGUCACAUAUGCGCAAAGACCGAGAGAAGGAAAAUGCUGGCAUGCUUUUUAAGCAGAAGCGCUGUAUCGAGAGACAUCAAUGCGGGUGAGAACAAGGAUUCGAAAAAGUAAAAAUGGUUAAGAGUCCCUCGGUCCGAAUUCUUUGCAUGGACGCGCUGGUAGACUUGUCUUCUCCUGCAUGAUGGAAAAGCAGGAUAAAAAGGGGUGGCACAUGUAUACGUGUUUGUACUUCGUCGACUAUGAGCGGAC
rnacentral:misc_RNA from 1 species